GACGAACGCUGGCGGCGUGCUUAACACAUGCAAGUCGAGCGGUAAGGCCCUUCGGGGUACACGAGCGGCGAACGGGUGAGUAACACGUGGGUGACCUGCCCUUAGCUCUGGGAUAAGCCUGGGAAACUGGGUCUAAUACCGGAUAUGACCUCAUGACGCAUGUUGUGGGGUGGAAAGCCUUGUGCGGCUAGGGAUGGGCCCGCGGCCUAUCAGCUUGUUGGUGGGGUGANGGCCUACCAAGGCGACGACGGGUAGCCGGCCUGAGAGGGCGACCGGCCACACUGGGACUGAGACACGGCCCAGACUCCUACGGGAGCAGCAGUGGGGAAUCUUGCGCAA
rnacentral:rRNA from 1 species